AUGAACACAGUCCAAGUUUGAGCGCUUGUUAGCUUCUGCAAGGAUUCCUGAAAAGCCACAGGUCUCUUGUUCAUGCCAAAUAAAUUUUGCUUUGCUGAACUUCAGAACAGUUUCUCCUUGUUGUAACAGUUGUACGUUUUUGCUCCUGCUCUUUUCUUAGAGAAAACAGAUUGCAAAUAUAUAUGGAAAAUAAAAGCAUAGGGCUCCUUUAAAAGUUACAUUUUAAAACAAGUGUAACGGAACUGCUCCAUUACAACUAGUUUGCCAUCUCCCCAAGAAAACUUCUAUGAUAAAUCUGAAGUGAGGCCCGAUUUCAGAAGUUUCAGGAAACAAUUCACAAACCUAGCCCCAAAGAUUCCCUUUUGCUCCCUGAAGCCUUGGGAUCCAGCUGGGGGAAGAAGGACGAGCCAUUUCAAAAGAAUGCUCCCUCUUUUGUUAAUAUCUAAUAAAAGGUAUUGCCUCUACCCAAAGAGUUCAUCUGCUUUUGUGCUUAAACUAACAUGGCUACAUCCUAGACUCCUCUUUUGCUAAUAUUCCUAUUGAAGCCAUUAUCUUGCACUUCCAGUCCCAAGAGUCCAAGAGAGGGGACAGGCACCCUCCAUUACUUACAUCAUUCCUUCUUCAUGCACGUGUGAGCGCCCCCAGUACAAGGCAUAGCAUGGCCUGACAUAUGAAAAACUCCAGCCUCCCUCUUUCUAAUUGAGGUAUCCCAACAAGAGUAUGCAGCACUUGUGUCCUGCACAAGCUACCAGUCAAAUUCUGGGUGAAAUUCAAGGACCAGAAGUUUCACACUAAGGGCAAGCAGUGAAGGACCUAGCUCCUUGGUCCUCCAGCAAAAGAAUCCCAAUUCAUGGCACUCCCUCCCCUUUCCUGCUCCUUUGUGCAACAAGAGCUACACAAAGAAGCCAGCCUGUACGUGAUGGACUGGUCCAAAGCCUAAGAACUGCCUCUCCUUUUCUGAGCCAUUAGAUAGCUGAUGCUCAUCAGGAACUGUAGGAUUCUACAUCCCUAGUCUGAAGAGAGGCAGAAGACAGGGCAGAGUUGUACCUUAUAGACUAACUAGAUCAGAGUUGCAUAGUAAAACCUUUUGUAAGCAUUAGGCUUACCUCAUCAAGUGCUCUGAAGGGACCCAGGAUAGAGCCCAUAGGCCUGAGAAAGCACAUGCUCUUGCUGGCAGGUUUGUGUCUUAAAUCAGCUUUCUCCAGCAAUGCACUGCAGGUCAGAGCUGACCUGGUCAGUCUGACCUGCAAAAGGCAUCGCCUCGUACAGAACUUUCCAAAUCUGGUUUUUCAGCUGAUUUCCCCACUUCUUCCCUCAUUCUAAUAGAUGUCAACAAAGGAUGCAUAUUUGGAAGACAUAAAAUGAAAGUGGGAGCCUUCCCACCCAUCUCUUAUUGAUUAUUAAAUGAAGCCAGGAUGAGAACACGUCGCGAAAAGUGCAUUAGAUGCUUUAAAGGGCUGGAAUUUCUCCUUCAAAAAUACGAUGCCUUGAGGGUAUUUAUGUUUCAUCCACAAUUGCAGGAGGAGGAGAGUGAAAUAAAACAUCAACCCAGCACUUCAUUAUUUUCACAGUCACUCUUCCUAUGCAUUCCCAAUGCAUCACCAAGAAUAAUGUCACUGGAAAGAGAAAGCACAGGCAGAAGAAAUUCUGACCCAAGCCCAAAGAAUGCUGAAAUGCCAUAAGGAAAUUGUCAUAGGAAACUGCAUACAGGUGUCUCUCUCUUUUGUCUAGGUCUGUACAUUUCCUGCAAUGUCUAAAAUAAAAAGUAAUUGGGUCUGAAACCUUU